rnacentral:rRNA from 1 species
AGAGUGAACGCUGGCGGCGUGGCUAAGACAUGCAAGUCGAGCGGCAAGGCAGCAAUGCCCUAGAGCGGCGAACGGGUGCGUAACACGUGAACAACCUUCCUUCAAGUUGGGGAUAGCCCCGGGAAACUGGGAUUAAUACCGAAUGUGGACUUCUGCGGCAUCGCAGGAUAUCCAAAGCUUGUAACGGCGCUUGAAGAGGGGUUCGCGGCCUAUCAGCUAGUUGGCGGGGUAACGGCCCACCAAGGCGAAGACGGGUAACCGGUCUGAGAGGAUGAUCGGUCACACUGGAACUGAGACACGGUCCAGACACCUACGGUGGCAGCAGUUUCGAAUCAUUCACAAU